UCCGCAGACCACCAACAACUUCCCUUUCAGCGGCACUUGACUCUUCCAAAUCCUUGUCCGUCUCUACACCCUGACAUUGCCAACGCCCCCCCCCCCCCUCGCCUCUGCCGUGUCACACCGAGAGGCCCACAGAGCCAGAGCCGUCCUCCCUCCGCCUCCUCGACAUGUUCACAGAUUUCCACCCUUUCAGACUCGAGCGCUUCCCCCUGUUUGCCAUCAUACGGCCAAUGGCUGAACUCGGACCAACAAAAAGGGAGAGGAAGCGAGAGAGGAAAAAGAUGAACCUCUGAAAGGAGCUGAAGAGGAGGCACGGCGAUAAACAACGCAGGGGAGUUCACAUCUGUUGGUUGGCCCCUCGCCCCUAGAGGCAGUCAACGCGGUUGCUGAGCGCUGCUGUUAACUCAACUCGGCUGAACUGGCGACCCAAUAUGGUUGUUACAUAAGGACGGGAUGGGAGCGGGAACAUAUCCGACUCAUUUCGGGACGUCUGGUCA